GCGCUCUUAGCUCAGAUGGAUAGAGCAAUAGCCUUCUAAGCUACAGGUCAUAGGUUCGAAUCCUAUAGAGCGUG
rnacentral:tRNA from 1 species